rfam:Propionispora sp. 2/2-37 isolate 2/2-37 genome assembly, contig: 2/2_contig21
GGAAGCCGGCACAGUAAGGUGUAGCCAGCCGCCGUUAUCCAGCCUUGGAACCAAAGCCGUGAGGCGAGGUUUAAGCGUAGGUAAGAAACCAUGCGAGCCGUAACACGAAAGUGUGAAGCUAUGGAGCCCCGUCAGAUUAUAUAAAGUGGAAGCCGAUGCCUUCACCUCGGCAGUAGGCAAUAACGUUUGGUCGACAGAGGCGAGAACAAACGGGUUCCAUCGGGGUCUUAGAGCA